AGGAGGCAGAACUAGAGUCAGCCAUUUGCAAAAUGUACAAAGGCUAAGAACUAAAAUACAAGGAAAUUAAAGGUAGGUUGGGCGUUAGUUGACACUUUGGGUUUUUGUUGCUGCCGUUGUUGCUGUAACUUUAAAAACAGGCAUUAAUUUGCAUAAUUACAUUUUGCAGCUGCUGGAGCUGCAAGUCCAUAAUGCAGGGUGUGCUUUGGGGCAUUAUUUUAUGCACUGCAAACGGACCCAGAGACACUGAGCUGUGCUAUCAGCUGCUUCUCCUUGUGCGGUAACUGCUGUUGCUGUGUAUAUAUUGGUAAGCUUGGUUAGACCAUCCUAAAUGAGCCUAAGCUUGGGGUCACUAUAAUGCACAUUAGCCUAGCAGACUGUGCAAGCUGUCUACGUUUCUGUCCCUGCUGGAACAGCAAUUCAUAGGCUUCUUUGCAAGGGCUUGUGUUUGGCUCAAUCCCCUCGUCCUUGUUGCUGGAAAGGGAACUUUGGAGCAGGUGGCUGGGGGCCUCUGACAGUGGGGAGGGUGGGCGGACGCUGCUGGGGGCGUUGCGUGUAUCAGGUGGCUGGGAUCUGUUCUGCACGUGGAAGUAGCGACCGCCCGUUUCUUCCACUUGCCCUCCGAGCGAUUGCUAGGGAUUGCUCUGAUUUCACAAGCCUUCUCUUUGUCUUUCCUUGCCCCGUCCCUGUCUAGGACUCCUGUGGAUGCCUCUGGGUGUAGCCUGCCUUUGGUGAUGCCCCAGUUCACCUUCGCUUGCUUUUGUGGACUUCAUGGCUUCUGCAAGAUGAAGAGGAAAAAAGACGAGCCCAGCGCAGAGCAGGAGACGUCUGUGUGAGCGGAAGGGAAACCUCGCCCUGCGUGUAUCACGCUCGUCCCGGUGCCGCACCACAGGAGCCCAGCUCUGGCUUUCCCUUGAGACUCGCCUGGCGAGGAAAAUGCCGAAGCUCAGACUUGACCUUACAGAAGAGACGCACGCAGGCGUUAUCCUGGGCGGCGUGCUGGUUCCACGCGGCCUGAGUGCCCACGGCUGUGCCGGGAAGGGGGAACGGCUGCCCCCGUGCUGGGCUCACGAGCGCGCUGCCCUCGGCCCACUCUAGUAAGUCCUCGUGGACACUUCCUGGAGCAGACUUUAAAAUCAAGGACCAAAUCUUGCCCUUGGCUCCCCCCAGUGUAACUGUAGAGCAGGAUUGGGCUCCUGGUUUUAAAUCGCUUCUCUGCUGACAGGACAAACAAGCUGCCUUUCCCCCCCACUUUUAUUUUAGAAACCCUCAAGCAAACGUCUGUGUCCAUGAGCACCCGUCCCCCGCGUCUCUGGGACGUCGCAUGCUCCAGCCGCCCGCGCUGAGCAGCCGUCCGGAGGUGCGAGGGCACCAGGCUCUGAUUCUGCUCCCUCCAACUGUGCCAAUCUGGAGUUUCUCCGAUGAAAUCUGUGGAGCAAGCCCGGUGUGGGACUCGCGCCCCUCCUGGGUGUAUGCUCGUGGUUGUGCUGGAUUUGCCCGUGGCCCUCUUUCUGUAAUGGGCCAAAGCCCAAAUCCCUGAAUGCUGCAGGGCAGGGAGUUUGGAACCGGCCCCGGCUCCAAGCUCGGGAGCUCACGCUUGUCUCUAGCACGCGCGUGUGUUCUCCAAAGCAGCGGCUUUCGGGUUUUUCCCCUUUCCCAGCCUGGAGCCUUCUUCCAACCCGGCUGGGAUCUGGAUGGGGCCCUCUUCCUGUUUAGUGACAUGGAAAAGGCAAGGAUGGCCGUGCCCUCCUGGGGCCUGUUCCCCGUCGCCUCCAGGAUCAGAGCCCCCAGGGAGAGAGCCUGUGCUCUGCCGGGAUUGGUGUGGGGGGUGGUCUGGUCCAAAGCAUGAAGCUUCGUUCCUGGCAUGGCCUCAUCCUCUCCAGGGAUAGCCAUUAGCUCAGCAGUGCUGCUGUGUCAAAGAUUGCCCUUUUCCCCCUCCCUGCCUGUCUGGACAUCCUUCCUACUUACUCUUGAAGCCAUAUGGAAACUCCCUGGGUGUCGUGCCUUUCAGGAAGCGUUGCAGACAGACUCCUUUCCCCGCCCCACCGAAACGAGCCCCUGUGCUAGGUGCUCCCAGAAAGCAGGACUACUCCCUCCUCCUUGAGUCAAGGCCCUUGACGUCAAUGGGAUCGUUCCCUUCAAUCCCAGUGAGCUCUAAAUCGGGCCUUUGGACCUCCUGCCGUCCGACAGUAAUGCUGGAGAUGGGCUUGUUCCCACCCCCACUACUCCAACCCCCUUCUGGCCCU